UUCCUCACUCUGGCUGAUAGCGGCGAAGUUUGUUUCCGAUCGCAAAGCUGGAAAAAAAGUUUUGGGGGAAACCGAGCGGUAGUUUGUUUUGUCGAAGUUCAAAAGUCCGGGAAGUUUUCGAUCGUGGAGUAUCGAGAAUUAAUUUGCUUUGUUGCAGAAAAGACCGGCUACCAAGAAAGAACUUGAAAAGAAGAGUAUGCAACAAGAACUACUGAGUAAGCAUUUUGAAGAUCCUUUAUUGCUUGAAAUAUACAAAAUGUUUCCAGUUUAUCCCAUCAAG